rnacentral:rRNA from 1 species
GAUGAACGCUAGCGGCAGGCCUAACACAUGCAAGUCGAGGGGUAACUAGAGUGAUAGCAAUAUUACUUUGGCUAGACCGGCGCACGGGUGCGUAACACGUAUGCAACCUACCUUAUACUGGGGAAUAACUUCGAGAAAUCGGCGCUAAUACCCCAUAACAUUGCGAAGAGGCAUCUCUUUGCAAUUAAAGCUCCGGCGGUAUAAGAUGGGCAUGCGUCCAAUUAGCUAGUUGGUGAGGUAACGGCUCACCAAGGCUACGAUUGGUAGGGGUUCUGAGAGGAUGAUCCCCCACACUGGUACUGAGACACGGACCAGACUCCUACGGGAGGCAGCAGUGAGGAAUAUUGCGCAAUGGACGAAAGUCUGACGCGGCCAUGCCGCGUGCAGGAUGACGGCCCUAUGGGUUGUAAACUGCUUUUGUACGGGAAUAAACCCUUCUACGUGUAGGAGGCUGAAGGUACCGUAAGAAUAAGCACCGGCUAACUCCGUGCCAGCAGCCGCCGUAAUAC